rnacentral:misc_RNA from 1 species
GAUGAAGAACGCAGCGAAAUGCGAUAAGUAAUGUGAAUUGCAGAAUUCAGUGAAUCAUCGAAUCUUUGAACGCACAUUGCGCCCGCCAGUAUUCUGGCGGGCAUGCCUGUUCGAGCGUCAUUUCAACCAUCAAGCCCCCGGCUUGUGUUGGGGACCUGCGGCUGCCGCAGGCCCUGAAAACCAGUGGCGGGCUCGCUAGUCACUCCGAGCGUAGUAAUACAUCUCGCUCAGGGCGUGCUGCGGGUUCCGGCCGUUAAAAAGCCUUAUUUACCCAAGGUUGACCUCGGAUCAGGUAGGAAGACCCGCUGAACUUAAGCAUAUCAAUAGCGAGGA